rnacentral:rRNA from 1 species
AGAGUUUGAUCCUGGCUCAGAACGAACGCUGACGGCAGGCUUAACACAUGCAAGUCGAACGAGAAGCCACCUUCGGGUGGUGGACAGUGGCAGACGGGUGAGUAACGCGUGGGAACGCGCCUUUCGGUUCGGGAUAACCCANGGAAACUUGGACUAAUACCGGAUACGCCCUUCGGGGGAAAGAUUCAUUGCCGAAAGAUCGGCCCGCGUCGGAUUAGCUAGUUGGUGAGGUAAAAGCUUACCAAGGCGACGAUCCGUAGCUGGUCUGAGAGGAUGACCAGCCACACUGGGACUGAGACACGGCCCAGACUCCUACGGGAGGCAGCAGUGGGGAAUAUUGGACAAUGGGCGAAAGCCUGAUCCAGCCAUGCCGCGUGGGUGAAGAAGGCCUUAGGGUUGUAAACCCCUUUCAGCGGGGAAGAUAAUGACGGUACCCGCAGAAGAAGCCC